GCCGCUCUGGGCCGCAGCCCGGGCCCUGACUGCAUUUCCGCCGGCGCCCAAGCGAGGAAGGGCGGGUCCUGCAUCCGAGGCAUCCCCGAUCCAUCCAGCAUCUUCUCGCGCAGUCUUCUUCGACCCGCUGCCACAGUCCCGGCGCCCCAGGCCCUGCGCAGAUGAAGACCCUCCCUCGGACGGCUUUGCGGGCCCUGCCUCAGCCGGCGCCCCCUUCUCUCCUGCAGGACCCGGACCCGCACUGCAGGGGCUGAGUGCCCCCUGGUUGGCGUCUGAGUCUUGCCUCCCCGUAGGCUCAGUACCUGGCAUGUGUCCAAGGCUCAGCAGCUGUACCACAACCACCCAACAGGAGAGAAGGAAAGGAGAGGUGCACCCCGGGGAUGUGGUGAGGCCAUCCCGUCAUGGGGAAUCAGAAAAGGACUGCGUCUUAGCCAGCCAGCUGGGGGAAGAGGAGGCAGCACCGGGCAGAGGGGCCCUUGAGAGAUGUCACCAUCCUGUUAAGAAAGGGCUGGACCACAGCGCUGCAGAGAUGAGUCCACGGUGUGCAGAGGCCGUCGUGGAAGUUGUCGUGUCAGCAGCGCUGUAGACCGCAGUGUCCUUGAGUGUUCAUUCUGACUCUUCUCUGGGAGCAUUGAGAUUCCUUUUUGAGCCAAGAUUGGUGUGGAAAAAAACACUGCAGCUCAUCUCUGACUAAUUGGGGACGCUUUCAUGGAUGUCACCUUAAAGAAAGAUGAGGGGUGCUGCUUUGGAAGAAGCCUCGGGGGUCAGAACCACUCGCCCUCUCAAGGUGAGGACCUGGGUCCCAGCUCCCCCGGAGGGUCCUCCUCAUGGUAUUUAGGGGCUGACCGCGGACACUGGCGUAGCAGCGUGAAGCAGGAUGUUGUCGCAUGACCAUCGCCAAACCUUUCUCUUCUGUUGCCUCAGCACAGCGUGGAAGGACUCUGCCCUCUGUGUGAACAGGGCAGAGGGGAAGUUCUGGGGCUCCAGGGACUUGGGGUUCAGAGCUGGAGACCUUCUACUGGCUCCCAGCAGGUGCCUCAGAACACUGCUGACCAGGAAGACUGUCUCUUCCCAUCUGGACCAGGUCAUCCCGUGGCUUCUGUGUCUCCCAUUUGCUCCUAGUAUAACUUUUUAGAACCAGGAGUUCCUGUUGGAGUCUUGUGUGCCGUGCAUCUUAUCUUCUCACCCACUUAAAUAAAUCUCGAAACUGCC
rnacentral:lncRNA from 1 species